UCGCUCCUACCGAUUUCGGGUGGUCCGGUGAACCCUUUGGACCGGAGGCGGCCUUGUGUCGCAGCCGGGAAGUCGUGUAAACCACAUCACCUAGAGGAAGGAG
rnacentral:rRNA from 1 species